rnacentral:ncRNA from 1 species
CCGUUAAGUUGCUUAGCGCAGCUUAACUUUCUCCUCUAUUUCUCCUUUGUAGACUUGGCGCGCAUCCUUUUUGAUGCGCGUAUUUUU